AUGCUGACGUGAGUAACGACAAAACGGGUGAAAAACCCGUUCGCUGAAAGACCAAGGGUUCCAGUCCAACGUUAAUCGGGGCUGGGUGAGUCGACCCCUAAGGCGAGGCCGAGAGGCGUAGUCGAUGGGAAAUUGGUUAAUAUUCCAAUACUUCUGUUUAAUGCGAUGAGAGGACGGAGAAGGUUAAGUCAGCCUGGCGUUGGUUGUCCAGGUGGAAGACUGUAGGUAUGUAUCUUAGGCAAAUCCGGGGUACUUUAUACUGAGAGUCGAUAGCAAGCCGUACUUGUACGGUGAAGUGGCUGAUACCCUGCUUCCAGGAAAAGUCUCUAAGCUUCAGUUAAACAGGAAUCGUACCCGAAACCGACACAGGUGGUCAGGUCGAGUAGACCAAAGCGCUUGAGAGAACUCUGCUGAAGGAACUAGGCAAAAUGGUACCGUAACUUCGGGAGAAGGUACGCUGCU
rnacentral:rRNA from 1 species